AAAGGGGAAAGCAAUCUAGCUAUAGCAUUAUACAGCGGAACUGCGAAUGGGUCAUUAUAUAAGUUAUCGUUUAUUUGAUAGUACCUUACUACUUGGAUAACCGUGGUAAUUCUAGAGCUAAUACAUGCGAAAAAUCCCGACUUCGGAAGGGAUGUAUUUAUUAUAUUAAAAACCAAUGCCCUCCGGGGCUCACUGGUGAUUCAUGAUAACUCCUCAAAUCCCAUGGCCUUGCGCCGGCGAUGGUUCAUUCAAAUUUCUUCCCUAUCAACUUUCGAUGUUUGGGUAUUGGCCAAACAUGGUUGCAACGGGAAGCGGGGCAAUGAAUAUCCUACA
rnacentral:rRNA from 1 species